AACUCCCAAAAUCAAACCCAACCUUCCUUUAGUGAUCAUAAACCUUGUGUUUAAAUUUCAUAGAUUUCUAUUUACUUAUACUAAAGUUAUGGUGCGAAAACCAAGAAUUAUGCUUACUGAGGCCCCUUUUUGGCCCUUAAUUCCUAAACUGUUCAGCCCUCAACUCCCAAAAUCAAUCCCAACCUUCCUUUUGUGGUCAUAAACCUUGUGUUUAAAUUUCAUAGAUUUCUAUUUACUUAUACUAAAGUUAUCGUGCGAAAACCAAGAAUAAUGCUUAUUUGGGCCCUUUUUUGGCCCCUAAUUCCUAAACUGUUUGAACUAAAACUCCCAAAAUCAAUCCCAACCUUCCUUUUGUGGUUAUAAACCUUGUGUUAAAAUUUCAUAGAUUUCUAUUCACUUUUACUAAAGUUAGAGUGCGAAAACUAAAAGUAUUCGGACGAC
rnacentral:lncRNA from 1 species